CCUCUAAUGUUUCAAAUUGCUGUCCUAUUUUGGGCUUUAGCUCAAGUCUUACAUGAGGAUUAUAAAUGGAAUUUUACUCUUCUAACUCAUCCUCUACUUGAAACUCUAUAUCAUCACCACUCUCUCCUACAUUCAAAUCAACAUUGUCACAACUCCCAAACUCUAAGUCCACAGUGUCCAUUUCAACAAUUUGUAAAUAUACAAAAUUAUGCAAAAAAAUUAUUCACA
rnacentral:lncRNA from 1 species